CCAAAAAAAAAUAAAGAACAAAAUUGCAAGGGGAUCUAGGAUUCUUAGUUCUAUCCUCUAUCAGUCUAUCUGAUAACCGGAUUUUUGUUUGUUUGCCACAGAAUCAAGUUACGAACACAGACUUUCAGGAAACUUAAGAUCCUCUUCCGAUGCUUGUAAUAGUUCAGCUUUGUGUGUGUUGUGAACUCAGGCAGUGUACCUUCUGGGACUCUGAUCAUUGUACAUCUUCGCAUAACAUAAUCGGCAAGAACAUAUAUUUUAAAUUUCAGAAAUCCAAAUUUUGGUUGAUGAAAAUGAUAAUUAAAAUUGUAUUCUAUUUCUGUUGGUUUUCUUUGCAAACAGAUGUUGUAUGUGAGAUAAUAUAAACACCAAAAUAGUUCAAUCAA